UUGGGUUGGCAAAAAAGUUUGUUUGGGUUUUCUCAUAACAUCUUACAGAAAAACCUUAAUUAAAUUUUUGGCCAACUCAGU
ensembl:miRNA